rnacentral:rRNA from 1 species
GCCUACGGGGGGCAGCAGUAGGGAAUUUUCGUCAAUGGGCGCAAGCCUGAACGAGCAAUGCCGCGUGAACGAGGAAGGUCUUCGGAUCGUAAAGUUCUGUUGAAGGGGAAAAAGAGCGGAGAGAGGAAAUGGUCUCCGAUUGAUAUUACCCUUCGAGGAAGUCACGGCUAACUACGUGCCAGCAGCCGCGGUAAUACGUAGGUGGCGAGCGUUAUCCGGAAUGAUUGGGCGUAAAGGGUGCGUAGGCGGCCUGCUAAGUCUGGAGUGAAAGGUACCGGCUCAACCAGUAUAGGCUCUGGAAACUG